rnacentral:rRNA from 1 species
AUGAAGGAAAACAACAACAACAUGGGUCCUCUUCUUUUUUCCUCCAAAUCUCCACAGGCUAUAUAUCUAGAGAGAGUAUCACCGGCUAUGAUCUUCCUUCCUGCCUUCCUUGAUUCAUCAGACUUCUGGAACACCGACCACAACCAGCUUCAGCUGCAACAAAUCGGCACUAGCACUCAUAGUACUACCACUUCUUCACCCGAUGGUCCUGGUGAUGGAGGAUGCAACAACAAUAAUCCCAAAGGGUUCAUGGCCACAACCGGGGCCGACUACGACGUUGCAGGGGGCGGAGAUGAUGGUUGCGGCGGUGCUGGGGACGGCGAUUGCAGUCGCGGCAGAAAUAACAAGUCGAUUUCCAUGUCGGAGCGAGCACGGCUAGCGCGGUUGCCGCAUCCAGUUCCAGGGCUCAACUGCCCGCGAUGCGAAUCCACCAACACCAAGUUUUGCUACUUUAAUAACUACUCUCUUACCCAGCCCCGCCACUUCUGCCGCUCCUGCAGCCGCUACUGGACCCGCGGCGGCGUUCUCCGCAACGUGCCCAUCGGCGGGGGGUAUCGUCGCCAUGCCAAGCGUAGGGCCAAGCCCAAGGUGGUGUCAGCCACCUCCCGAGCCUCUACGAUUGCAAUACCCCAUUUUGGCAGCACGCCGUCCCACGACAGCCAGUUCAGCGACAUAUUCGACCCAGCUAACCUUGGUCUCGGCUUCCCUGUCAGGCUGCUCUUUGCCGAAAGCGAUGCUUACACGGUGGAUGGCUGUGCGCACCACCACCACCACCAUGCCCAUGGGAACGGGAUGGAGCAGUUAUUGGAAGCACAGAAUAGCUUCCCAUUCAUGCACGCCAUGGAUCAUCAUAUGUCUGGACUCCCAGCUGAGGCAAUUCCCAUCACAAUGGCUACGAUGCAGGGCAUGUUCCACCUAGGGUUACAGAGCGUCCGCGGGGGUCAUGGCGACGAGAUAGCAGGCCAAUAG